rnacentral:rRNA from 1 species
UACGAAGGGUGCAAGCGUUAAUCGGAAUUACUGGGAGUAAAGGGUGCGUAGGCGGUUCGUUAAGUCUGUCGUGAAAUCCCCGGGCUCAACCUGGGAAUGGCGAUGGAUACUGGCGAGCUAGAGUGUGUCAGAGGAUGGUGGAAUUCCCGGUGUAGCGGUGAAAUGCGUAGAGAUCGGGAGGAACAUCAGUGGCGAAGGCGACCAUCUGGGACAACACUGACGCUGAAGCACGAAAGCGUGGGGAGCAAACAGG